GGCCCCUGACCGGGGUUGCGGACAGUGUCUGGUGGGUAGUUUGACUGGGGCGGUCUCCUCCCAAAGCGUAACGGAGGAGCACGAAGGUUAGCUAAUCCUGGUCGGACAUCAGGAGGUUAGUGCAAUGGCAUAAGCUAGCUUGACUGCGAGCGUGACGGCGCGAGCAGGUGCGAAAGCAGGUCAUAGUGAUCCGGUGGUUCUGAAUGGAAGGGCCAUCGCUCAACGGAUAAAAGGUACUCCGGGGAUAACAGGCUGAUACCGCCCAAGAGUUCAUAUCGACGGCGGUGUUUGGCACCUCGAUGUCGGCUCAUCACAUCCUGGGGCUGAAGUAGGUCCCAAGGGUAUGGCUGUUCGCCAUUUAAAGUGGUACGCGAGCUGGGUUUAGAACGUCGUGAGACAGUUCGGUCCCUAUCUGCCGUGGGCGCUGGAGAAUUGAGGGGGGCUGCUCCUAGUACGAGAGGACCGGAGUGGACGCAUCACUGGUGUU
rnacentral:rRNA from 1 species